rnacentral:rRNA from 1 species
AUACGGAGGGUGCAAGCGUUACUCGGAAUCACUGGGCGUAAAGCGCGCGCAGGCGGUCUUUUAAGUUGGAUGUGAAAGCCUACGGCUCAACCGUAGAACUGCAUCCAAAACUAUUAGACUAGAGUGUGGGAGAGGAAGAUGGAAUUAGUUGUGUAGGGGUAAAAUCCGUAGAGAUAACUAGGAAUACCAAAAGCGAAGGCAAUCUUCUGGAACACUACUGACGCUGAGGCGCGAAAGCGUGGGGAGCAAACAGGAUUAGAUACCCCUGUAGUCC